AGAUGAAAGAGGACACCGAGCUCCAAAAGAAGUCUGAAUCUUUUGUUAAUUGCUGUGUUAGGGGAAGGUGUGUCCCCAUUAACUGGCCUGCCUCUGCCCGGGCAGUCUGUCAACAUCCUUACAUGACGGCGGAGGAAUUUCACCUGUGUGUGUCAAGUUAAAAGGAGAAAGUAGGAGGAUUAGAUCUCCACUCACCUCCGCCAGCAUGUUCCUCCACAGAGCCGGGCCUCAGGGGGAAGGUCUCCCUGCACUGAGCACAGCUGGACCCUCCCUUCUCCUUUUCACGAUCCCAGAAACCCUCCAGGCAUACUGAGCAGCAGAACUGAUUCCAGUCCAGCAAAAAUCCACACUGAUUCUCUUACUGAUGUUGAUGUGUUCAUAAAGGGCCAGUUUCAUAAAAUGAGAUGCUGCAUUUGAUUUAUUUCUUAAGUACUUGGAAACUCUCAGCUUUAAUCAAAAGGUUGGAUGGUGAAGUGUAAGGAUCAAUGUCCUCCAACUUUAAUUGAACUCACCCGAGUAGCUUCUCCUGUAUUAAAGGAGCACUCUUUUGCCUUAGAGAGCCCCCUGUUGAUCACAGCUUGUAGGUGCAGGGUUCAAAAGUCAGGCCUACAUUGUAAAACACAGAGCUGGAAAGUAUUUGGAUAUUUAACCUAAGUAAAACUAAUGUUGUGCUACAGUCCAGAAAACACUUUUGGGGGAAAAUGUGGUAAAAGUACCUCAUGCAAGAUUUUACUUGAACACACAAGUUUUAGCAUCCAAAUGAAAUUGAGGUACAAAAAGUAGAAAGACCCCUCUCCACACAAAGUUCAUUCAAAAUAACUUUAAUUGUCAAAAUUGAUCCAUAUUGCACUCUUAUCUGUUAUGUUGGUGAGGGUUUUUUUUUACUUUGUAUACUGCCAAGCAUCUGGUGAAUUUCCCCAACUAUAGUUUGUAUAUAAUAUAAAGUAUAUAAAGUUAACAUGUAGUAGGAAAAUGGAAUAACUGGUAUUACAAGUACCUGGAAAUUACACUGAAUGUACUUUCACAAUUACUGGUAAAACAAAAAUGGUCACGUGGGGACGCUUGAGUGCAAUCACUGCUUUUAAUUUUGAAAAAAUUGAUUUAUAACAGAAAAUAGUUGCGAUAUAGAAAACAUGUCAAGAGUCAAAAGAGAAAAGACAAUGUUUAUCUCUAAUCUUGAAUUAUUGGAGGGUCCAGAUUCAAACCCCCAGAUAAUCACCAAACCAGUCAGAUAAUUUCCCAUUGAAAUGGAAUGCACAAGCCCACUGAUAUUAUAACGACGUUGACAUUUACAAAUGAGUAGUGAUUUUACACUGUAGAAUGAACCGUUCCCUCCACCUUUCUUGCUUAUAUUGUUGAGAUGAAGUUGUGUUUGUCAGACAUUAUAAACAUUGGAUCAAGUGAAUACGCAUUAGUGUCAUUUGUCGCUCUUCGUACCGAACACACAAAGAGUUAUCAGCUAACCCUGCAGGUUCCCUCAGCUCUUUAUGCAGCC